CAGAUGAACAUCAGGAAGGAACAUUAGGAACAUCCACGGUGUUCCAUCCAGGAACCUUCACCAUGGAAACCCUUGUGCUCAUGGGCCUGGUCUCAAGACUCAGUCAGCUGUUGGGGAUCAGAGGCCGCACUCAUCGUAGCAGAGAGGCAGGACCAGCUGGGAGAGGGUCCUUCUGUGACACCGACGGCAUCACCGGGCUGUGGGAAGUGACUCAGCUGCCAGAACUCACACAAUAUCAUUCUGCACCAAAACCUCAUGGGAAAAAUGCUCCACGACCCUCAGACUUAAACAGCAGCACUGGCUCCUCCCCAGAUCUCCAGCUCCCUGACCCUCAAACUCCAACUCCAGCACCAGCUCCACCUGGGUCUCCAGCUCCACCAUCCUCAAACUCCAACAGCAGCACCAGCUCCCGCGUGGAUCUCCAGCUCAAUGACUCUCAGACUUAGGAGGCAGCACCGGUUCCCCACCAAGACUCCAGCUCCACAACACUCAAACUAGAACAGCAGCACCGGCUACUCCCUGGCUCUCCAGCUCCCUCAAACUUCAACGAUAGCACUGGCUGUUCCCCGGGACCACCAGCUCCACAACCCCCAACUUACACGGUGGUAGCACCAGCUCCUCCCUAGGUCUCCAGCUCCACGACCAUCAAACUUGAACUGCAAUACCAGCUCCUCUUCGGCCUCCAGCUCCACAAUCCGCAAACAACAACAGCAACACCUGCGCCUCCCUGAAUCUCCAGCUCAACAACUCUCAGACUUGAGAGGCAGCACCGACACCUCCCCAAGGCUCCAGCUCCACAACCCUCAGAUUUGAACAGCAGUAGCACCACCUCCUGUCUGGGUCUCCAGCUUCACGAUCCUUAAACUGGAACAGCAGCACCGCCGCCUCCCUGGGUUUCCAGCUCCACGACCCUAAAACAUGAAUGACAGAACCAGGUCACCCCCAGGGCUCCAGCUCCAAGAACCACAGAUUUAAACGGCAGCCCCGGCUCUUCCCAGGAUCUCCAACUCCAUGGCCCUCAGACUAGAUCAGCAGCACCGGUUCCUCCCUGGGUCUCCCUCCAGCUCCACAAUCCUCAGACAUGAACAAUAGCACCGGCUCCUCCCUGGGUCUC
rnacentral:lncRNA from 1 species